AUGUCUGUCUUGGGGUACAUGGAGCCUGACUCUGAAGUCAUCAUCUCACUCACUGCCACUUCUCGUAGAAAACUGUUACCACAAACUACCGGCGUUUGGUAUAUUAACAGACAACUACAUCUGCUUUACCACAUGUUGAAGCAGGACUUUCGGCUGUUUGUUCCAGACCAGGACUCUGUCCGAGGAGAGUUGAUGGUUGAGCUGAGACGCUGGAGGACGACUAGGAAUCGACCAACAAGGAUUCCUCAACGUGUUUCUGGAGCGGAGGCGAGCUGGCAGGGGAGCCGUGAAUCUGGAGGAUGACCAUCGCUCUACCAACAUGGAUUGUAAGUUUGCAUUAACCUAACAGAGUGGAUAUAAAGGGCUUAAAAAUAAGACAAACUACAUGUUUGUUACCAGACGUUGGGGCCAGACUUGUGCUGUUUGUUCCUGACCAGGCCUCUGAGGAGAGCUGAUGGAGGAGCCAAGACUCUGGAGGACGACAUCACUCUACCAACAAGGAUCCGUAAGUUUGCAUAAAGUAGACGGAGUGGACUUGUGGUAACGAGGAUUAGUUUGUCCAGUACAAGUUAAGGCAUACUACUGUGGUUGGUUACUAGACAAAAUACAGCUGCUACUUUGUUACUUGUAACCAGACCAGGAAUCUGGAGGACUGACGGAGAAGCUGUACAUCUGGAAGGCAAAUCCUGAGGACAACCAGGACUCUACCAUCAAGGAUUCCUGGUAAGUUUGCAUUAUCUGGACAUAGUGGACCGUGUCGGGAGUUCAACUCUCAGACCAAUGGUGCCGGGUUCAAGUCCUCUGAAUACAGUGAUGCGUCCUUGAGCAAGGAGCCCUAAAGCCUGCCUGCUCCUUAAUGACGUCUCUUUGGUUCAGAUAAUGUUGCAUCUUUUAAAUAUUGAACCUAAUCCAUGUCCUUGUUUGGUCCGGGCAGACACCCCUGAGCUGAACCCCACCUGAUCCUGUUUGGUCGGGGGCAGACACACCUGAGCUGAACCCCACCUGAUCCUGUUUGGUCGGGGACAGACACACCUGAGCUGAACCCCACCUGAUCCUGUUUGGUCGGGGGCAGACACACCUGAGGUGAACCCCACCUGAUCCUGACACCCUGCUGGUCCCGUCUCCUCAGUUCAUCUGAGCCUCGUCCUCCAGAAGACCUGCUGAGCUCAGCGGCCUGAGGCUGAUGGAUCAAUGACCUCCAGUGGGAGUGAUCUUCUUGACCCCACAUGUACCCGUGUGCUUCCACACGCCUUUCCCUCACUACUUCCUUAACCUCACUACUUCCCUAACCUCACUACUUCCCUAUCCUUCCUCUUCUUCCUUCUCCGUGGUUCGAACCUGUGUCUUCCUGCCCUCAGAGGGUUCAGCGUUAGGGUUGAGAGUCAGGGUUUAGAGUCAGGGACAGAGCUGGUCAGGGAGGACUGGUUUUAAACAAACCUCUUCACUUGCUUUCUGAAUGGUGACAUUUUGAAAUGUUUCAUUUGGGAAAAUGUUUUCCUCUGCUUUCCUUUAGAAAAACAUGUAUUGAACUUCUGUCAAGUGUUUUUGUUUAUAUAUUAAAAUCCUACAUUGACUGUUUGGUGCGGUUCAUUUAAUUGUCCAUAAACUUGGUUAAUGUCAAGCUAAACUCCUGCAAUACAUUGAAUUUACAUGAUGAAUGUUAUUCAGCAUUGUUCACAUAAUCCAUUUUGUAAAAAUAUAAAAUAUCUAAUGUACAUACUGCCCUCGCAGGCCAUUCUCUGCUACAACACGUUCAAACCAUCAACUCGGUCUAACAUCAAUGUACUAUUA
rnacentral:lncRNA from 1 species